rnacentral:rRNA from 1 species
AUCAUUAAAAAUUCAAUGACAUUAGGGUAAAUUGAUAAAUCCCAUAUAGAAGUGUAACAGCCCCUUCAGAAAUGAGGGGGGUGUCUUCGCGGGAUGUACGGUAAAAGUCCGUAGCCUUUUUUGGUAUUACCAUAACUCUUCUGUGUACCUAUUACUUGUUGCUUCCCUGGGGUAACUCAGGGAAGGCAUACGCAUCGAUGAGAAACGCAGCGAAAUGCGAUAAGUAGUGUGAAUUGCAGAAUUCAGUGAAUCAUCGAAUCUUUGAACGCACAUUGCGCCCUCUGGUAUUCCGGAGGGCAUGCCUGUUCGAGCGUCAUCAAAACUACUCAAGCUAAGGUUUACCUUCUGCUUGGUCUUGGAAUUGGAAUUGAAUUUUUCCUUUCUGAAAUACAGUGGCGAAUUGACUGUGCUGUAAACGUAGUAACUUUACCCGUUGAAAGCAUGUUCACAUUCCGCCAUAACCCCCUCUAUUUUCUAGUUUGACCUCGGAUCAGGUAGGGAUACCCGCUGAACUUAAGCAUAUCAAUAAGCGGAGGAAAAGAAACCAACAGGGAUUGCCUUAGUAACUGCGAGUGAAGCGGCAAAAGCUCAAAUUUGAAAUCUGGGGCCUCACAGCCUCCGAAUUGUAAUUUCGCGAUACGUUUUCGACUGAAGGCUCUGCUUUAAGUUCCUUGGAACAGGACGUCACAGAGGGUGAGAAUCCCGUGAUAGGUGGAGCCUGAUGCAUAUGAUACGUAUUCAACGAGUCGAGUUGUUUGGGAAUGCAGCUCAAAAUGGGUGGUAAAUUUCAUCUAAAGCUAAAUAUUGGCGAGAGACCGAUAGCGCACAAGUAGAGUGAUCGAAAGAUGAAAAGCACUUUGAAAAGAGAGUUAAAAAGUACGUGAAAUUGUUGAAAGGGAAGCGCUUGAGACCAGACUCAAUCUGUGGUGAUCAACUUGGCUUCUGUCAGGUGCACUUGCCACUUAUUGGGACAGCAUCGGUUUUGGCGGUGGGAUAAAGUCUUGAGGAAUGUAGCUAUCUUCGGGUAGUGUUAUAGCCUCUUGAGUAAUGCUACCAGCCGGGACCGAGGACCGC